UCCCGGUUGGCCCGGGCAGUCUCGCAUGAAAAAUACAACAUACGACAGGGGUUGCGCUCGUUGCGGGACUUAACCCAACAUCUCACGACACGAGCUGACGACGGCCAUGCAGCACCUGUCACCUGAUUCCUUGCGGCACUCCCCUAUUUCUAGGGGAUUCCAGGGAUGUCAAGCCUCGGUAAGGUUCUACGCGUAGCGUCAUAUUAAACCACAUGAUCCACCGCUUGUGCGGGUCCCCGUCAAUUCCUUUGAGUUUUAGCCUUGCGGCCGUACUUCCCAGGCGGCAUACUUAUCGCGUUAGCUUCGACGCACAGGGGGUCGAUACCCCAUACGUCUAGUAUGCAUCGUUUACGGCGUGGACUAC
rnacentral:misc_RNA from 1 species